GAUGAACGCUGGCGGCGUGCCUAACACAUGCAAGUCGAACGAACAGACGAGGAGCUUGCUCCUUUGACGUUAGCGGCGCGCGGGUGUGAAACAUGUGUAUAACCCCCCUAUAUGUCUGGGAAAACCUCGGGAAACCGGAGCUUACACCGGAUAAUCUACUGAACCGCAUGGUUCGAUGGUAAAAGACGGCUUUUCUGUCACUUCUCGCUGCUUCCGCGCUGCAUUAGCUAGUUGGUAAGGUAACGGCUUACCAAGGCGACGAUGCGUAGCCGACCUGAGAGGGUGAUCGGCCACACUGGAACUGAGACACGGUCCAGACUCCUACGGGAGGCAGCAGUAGGGAAUCUUCCGCAAUGGGCGAAAGCCUGACGGAGCAACGCCGCGUGAGUGAUGAAGGUCUUCGGAUCGUAAAACUCUGUUAUUAGGGAAGAACAAAUGUGUAAGUAACUAUGCACGUCUUGACGGUACCUGAUCAGAAAGCCACGGCUAACUACGUG
rnacentral:rRNA from 1 species